rnacentral:rRNA from 1 species
AAUGCCUACGGGGCGCAGCAGUGAGGAAUAUUGGUCAAUGGGCGGAAGCCUGAACCAGCCAAGUCGCGUGAGGGAAUAAGGCCCUACGGGUCGUAAACCUCUUUUGCCGGGGAGCAAGGGCCGGGACGAGUCCCGGUCCGGAGAGUACCCGGAGAAAAAGCAUCGGCUAACUCCGUGCCAGCAGCCGCGGUAAUACGGAGGAUGCGAGCGUUAUCCGGAUUUAUUGGGUUUAAAGGGGGCGCAGACGGCGAUGCAAGCCAGGAGUGAAAGCCCGGGGCCCAACCCCGGGACUGCUCUUGGAACUG